AGAGUUUGAUCAUGGCUCAGAUUGAACGCUGGCGGCAGGCUUAACACAUGCAAGUCGAGCGGAAACGAUGAUAGCUUGCUAUCAGGCGUCGAGCGGCGGACGGGUGAGUAACGCGUAGGAAUCUACCUAGUAGUGGGGGAUAGCCCAGAGAAAUUUGGAUUAAUACCGCAUACGCCCUACGGGGGAAAGGAGGGGAUCUUCGGACCUUUCGCUAUUAGAUGAGCCUGCGUCGGAUUAGCUAGUUGGUGGGGUAAAGGCUCACCAAGGCGACGAUCCGUAGCUGGUCUGAGAGGAUGAUCAGCCACACUGGGACUGAGACACGGCCCAGACUCCUACGGGAGGCAGCAGUGGGGAAUAUUGGACAAUGGGGGCAACCCUGAUCCAGCCAUGCCGCGUGUGUGAAGAAGGCCUUCGGGUUGUAAAGCACUUUCAGCGAGGAGGAAAGGUUAGUCGUUAAUAACGGCUAACCCUGACGUUACCUACAGAAGAAGCACCGGCAAACUCCGUGCCAGCAGCCGCGGUAAUACGGAGGGUGCGAGCGUUAAUCGGAAUUACUGGGCGUAAAGCGCGCGUAGGCGGCCUGAUAAGUUGGAUGUGAAAGCCCUGGGCUCAACCUAGGAACUGCAUUCAAAACUGUCAGGCUAGAGUAUGGUAGAGGAUAGUGGAAUUUCCAGUGGUAGCGGUGAAAUGCGUAGAGAUCGGAAGGAACAUCAGUGGCGAAGGCGGCUAUCUGGACCAAUACUGACGCUGAGGUGCGAAAGCGUGGGGAGCAAAACAGGAUUAGAUACCCUGGUAGUCCACGCCGUAAACGAUGUCAACUAGCCGUUGGGGGGCUUGUCCCUUUAGUGGCGCAGCUAACGCGAUAAGUUGACCGCCUGGGGAGUACGGCCGCAAGGUUAAAACUCAAAUGAAUUGACGGGGGCCCGCACAAGCGGUGGAGCAUGUGGUUUAAUUCGAUGCAAUGCGAAGAACCUUACCAGGUCUUGACAUCCCGAGAAUUUACUAGAGAUAGUUUAGUGCCUUCGGGAACUCGGUGACAGGUGCUGCAUGGCUGUCGUCAGCUCGUGUCGUGAGAUGUUGGGUUAAGUCCCGUAACGAGCGCAACCCUUGUCCUUAGUUGCCAUCAUUCAGUUGGGGACUCUAAGGAGACUGCCGGUGACAAACCGGAGGAAGGUGGGGACGACGUCAAGUCAUCAUGGCCCUUACGACCUGGGCUACACACGUGCUACAAUGGUCAGUACAAAGGGUCGCGAAGCCGCGAGGUGGAGCUAAUCUCAUAAAACUGUUCGUAGUCCGGAUUGAAGUCUGCAACUCGACUUCAUGAAGUCGGAAUCGCUAGUAAUCGCAAAUCAGAAUGUUGCGGUGAAUACGUUCCCGGGCCUUGUACACACCGCCCGUCACACCAUGGGAGUAGGUUGCAAAAGAAGUGGGUAGACUAACCUUCGGGAGGUCGCUCACCACUUUGUGAUUCAUGACUGGGGUGAAGUCGUAACAAGGUAGCC
rnacentral:rRNA from 1 species